rnacentral:rRNA from 1 species
UGCGCAGGCGGACCUAUUAGUCAGUGGUGAAAUCCCGGGGCUCGACUCCGGAACUGCCAUUGAUACUGUAGGUCUUGAGUUUGGUUGAAGUGGGCGGAAUGUAGCAUGUAGCGGUGAAAUGCAUAGAUAUGCUACAGAACACCGAUCGCGAAGGCAGCUCACUAAACCAAAACUGACGCUCAGGCACGAAAGCGUGGGUAGCGAACAGGAUUAGAUACCCUGGUAGUCC